AGGGGAGAGGAGGGAGCGCACCUACGAGUACAAAAGGUGUAAUACGCGAACAGAUAAAGGGAGAGUGCGCGCGCGCGCGGAGAUUGGAGCAGCGGAGGCGAGGGGGAGAUGGGGACGUCGCAUGGGACGUCAACAGACACGAUUCAACACGCACGCACGCACACUACCGUGACCGUCGGAUCCCAUUGUGAUCUCCGUUCGUCUCUCAACUAAGGUAUUUCUCGCCAGUCCUCCACAUCCUCCUGUCGCGAUUUGGAUGAUGGAAAAA